AUUUUGAUCCUGCCGGACCCGACUGCUAUUUGGGUGAGGAUAAGCCAUGCGAGUCGAAUGGGAUACCUAAAUUUCCCAUGGCGAACUGCUCAAUAACACAUGAUCAACUUGCCCUAUAGAGAAAAAUAACCUCGGGAAACUGAGGAUAAUGUUUCAUAGUUGAAAAGGCUUGGAAAAGUUUUUCGACCAAAGGGAUAAAAAAAAUGGUUUUUAUCCGCUAUAGGAUAGGAUCGUGCUCGAUUAUGGUCGUUGGUGAGGUAACGGCUCACCAAGCCGAUAAUCGAUAGGGGCCGUGAGAGCGGGAGCCCCGAGAUGGGUACUGAGACAGCGACCCAGGCCUUACGAGGCGCAGCAGGCGCGGAACCUCCGCAAUACACGAAAGUGUGACGGGGUUACCCAAAGUGUUCAAUAGAACUGUGGUAGGUGAGUAAUGUCCCCUACUAGAAAGGAGAGGGCAAGGCUGGUGCCAGCCGCCGCGGUAAAACCAGCUCUUCAAGUGGUCGGGAUAAUUAUUGGGCUUAAAGUGUCCGUAGCCGGUUUAGUAAGU
rnacentral:rRNA from 1 species